UACGGGGGGGGCAAGCGUUGUUCGGAAUUACUGGGCGUAAAGGGCUCGUAGGCGGCCAACUAAGUCGGAUGUGAAAUCCCCAGGCUUAACCUGGGAACUGCAUCCGAUACUGGAUGGCUUGAAUCCGGGAGAGGGAUGCGGAACUCCAGGUGUAGCGGUGAAAUGCGUAGAUAUCUGGAGGAACACCGGUGGCGAAGGCGGCAUCCUGGACCGGCAUUGACGCUGAGGAGCGAAAGCCAGGGGAGCAAACGGG
rnacentral:rRNA from 1 species